rnacentral:rRNA from 1 species
GCCCAGACUCCUACGGGAGGCAGCAGUGGGGAAUAUUGCACAAUGGGGGAAACCCUGAUGCAGCGACGCCGCGUGAGCGAUGAAGUAUUUCGGUAUGUAAAGCUCUAUCAGCAGGGAAGAAGAUGACGGUACCUGACUAAGAAGCCCCGGCUAACUACGUGCCAGCAGCCGCGGUAAUACGUAGGGGGCAAGCGUUAUCCGGAUUUACUGGGUGUAAAGGGAGCGUAGACGGCGAUGCAAGCCAGAUGUGAAAGCCCGGGGCUCAACCCCGGGACUGCAUUUGGAACUGUGUGGCUGGAGUGUCGGAGAGGCAGGCGGAAUUCCUAGUGUAGCGGUGAAAUGCGUAGAUAUCAGGAGGAACACCGGCGGCGAAGGCGGCCUGCUGGACCGUGACUGACGUUGAGGCUCGAGAGCGUGGGGAGCAAACAGGAUUAGAUACCCCAGUA